rnacentral:sRNA from 1 species
GCUUGCUGGGGUCGGGACUGCGCGACGGCGCAGGGGCUGCGGGGAGCGCCGCGCAGGCCGUGCAGUUCCUAGCGAGGAGGCGCCGCCGCCAUUGCCGCUCUCUCGGUGAGCGCAGCCCCGCUCUCCGGGCCGGGCCUUCGCGGGCCACCGGCGCCAUGGGCCAGUGCGGCAUCACCUCCUCCAAGACCGUGCUGGUCUUUCUCAACCUCAUCUUCUGGGGGGCAGCUGGCAUUUUAUGCUAUGUGGGAGCCUAUGUCUUCAUCACUUAUGAUGACUAUGACCACUUCUUUGAAGAUGUGUACACGCUCAUCCCUGCUGUAGUGAUCAUAGCUGUAGGAGCCCUGCUUUUCAUCAUUGGGCUAAUUGGCUGCUGUGCCACAAUCCGGGAAAGUCGCUGUGGACUUGCCACGAAGUUGUUGUAGUGGUUUUGGGAUAUGUUUACAGAGCAAAGGUGGAAAAUGAGGUUGAUCGCAGCAUUCAGAAAGUGUAUAAGACCUACAAUGGAACCAACCCUGAUGCUGCUAGCCGGGCUAUUGAUUAUGUACAGAGA